rnacentral:tRNA from 1 species
AAAUAAGAAGCAAAUCUUGCAUUUAAUUUCGACUUAAAAAUCAGAGUUCAUUUACUCCUUAUUUA